CGGGCUGCUCCAAACACUCUUUGAGCUUCACUUUCAGCCGAUUCUCUACAGUGAUCGAUUACUCUUCGAAUCUCUUCCAAACUUCUCCCAGCCACGAUCGACUUUACUCCGAACUCCUUCCGGGCUUCGUCGACGUCCGAGCUUCCCCAACAACAGGACUUCUGCGGUAACCAGACUCCAUCCAAGUUUCCACGGUGGUCGACCGCCUUCCAGAUUUCAUUCGGGCUAA
rnacentral:lncRNA from 1 species